CCCUUAGAUGUUCUGGGCGGCCCGCGCACUACAUUGGCACUCUCAAUAAGUUCCUAGAUCUAAAACUUUGGGGUAUUCUAUUAAGUGGUGUCGUGACUGGGAUUAACCCUUGCAAUUAUUGGUUACGAACGAGGAAUUCCUUGUAAUCGCGGUUUAUCAGCCCGCGUUGAAUGCGUCCCUGCCCUUUGUACACACCGCCCGCCGCUCCUACCGAUGAAUCGUCCGGUGAAGUUCAUGGAGUGGUGGUUGUUCCAGCUGCUGUCGAAGUGAAAUGGACCUCACGAUUUAGAGGAAGGAGAAGUCGUAACA
rnacentral:rRNA from 1 species